rnacentral:rRNA from 1 species
AUUGAACGCUGGCGGCAUGCUUUACACAUGCAAGUCGAACGGCAGCACGGGUGCUUGCACCUGGUGGCGAGUGGCGAACGGGUGAGUAAUGCAUCGGAACGUGCCCAUGAGUGGGGGAUAGCCCGGCGAAAGCCGGAUUAAUACCGCAUACGCCCUUAGGGGGAAAGGCGGGGGAGUCUUCGGACCUCGCGCUAUUGGAGCGGCCGAUGUCGGAUUAGCUAGUAGGUGAGGUAAAGGCUCACCUAGGCGACGAUCCGUAGCUGGUCUGAGAGGAUGAUCAGCCACACUGGGACUGAGACACGGCCCAGACUCCUACGGGAGGCAGCAGUGGGGAAUUUUGGACAAUGGGCGGCAAGCCUGAUCCAGCCAUGCCGCGUGAGUGAAGAAGGCCUCGG